GGCUCAGGACGAACGCUGGCGGCACGCUUAACACAUGCAAGUCGAACGGAGAAUUUGGAUUUAUUCAUGAUUCUUAGUGGCGGACGGGUGAGUAACACGUGAGCAACCUGCCUCUGAGAGAGGGAUAGCUUCUGGAAACGGAUGGUAAUACCUCAUAAUAUAAUUGAACCGCAUGAUUUGAUUAUCAAAGAUUUAUCACUCAGAGAUGGGCUCGCGUCUGAUUAGAUAGUUGGUGAGGUAACGGCUCACCAAGUCGACGAUCAGUAGCCGGACUGAGAGGUUGAACGGCCACAUUGGGACUGAGACACGGCCCAGACUCCUACGGGAGGCAGCAGUGGGGAAUAUUGCACAAUGGGGGAAACCCUGAUGCAGCGAUGCCGCGUGGAGGAAGAAGGUUUUCGGAUUGUAAACUCCUGUCUUAAAGGACGAUAAUGACGGUACUUUAGGAGGAAGCUCCGGCUAACUACGUGCCAGCAGCCGC
rnacentral:rRNA from 1 species